rnacentral:rRNA from 1 species
AUUGAACGCUAGCGGGAUGCUUUACACAUGCAAGUCGAACGAGUGGCGGACGGGGGAGUAAUAUUUGGGGAUUGCCCGAUAGAGUUGGAUAACUACUGGUAACGGUAGCUAUUUCCUCCUACUCUCGGUUAACCCAUAUGGGAUUAGCUAGUAGGUGAGGUAAUGGCUCACCUAGCCGACGAUCCCUAGCUGGUCUGAGAGGAUGAUCAGCCACACUGGGACUGAGACACGGCCCAGACUCCUACGGAGGCAGCAGUGGGGAAUAUUGCACAAUGGGCGCAAGCCUGAUGCAGCCAUGCCGCGUGUAUGAAGAAGGCCCUAGGGUUGUAAAGUACUUUAAGUCGGGAGGCGUUACCGACAGAAGAAGCACCGGCUAACUCCGUGCCAGCAGCCGCGGUAAUAC